GUGGCUGUAAGCUGCAUUUGGCUCCAUCCAUGACAAGGAUGCCAACUUAAGCCAGUUAUUUUACCUCCUUUCAUUGAUGCUGUGCUCUCAUAAAGAAGUGGGGGGCGGGACAGCUUGCUUUAAAACAGCCCCACCCCACAAAUCCUUCUUUCUGAAGCAUUUGAGCAAUUGCUUUCUAGUGGUGGUUGGGCUUCCCUUGGAAAUACGUCCUAAAGUCUGGAUGCUAGUGUAGCUUACCUGCAUUUCCACUGCCAAAGUUUAGGUCAUUAAAAGAAUGCAAGGAAGUAUUUUUCAUACGUGCCAUUAAAAUGAAAACCCUUCAUGUUUCUUAGUUCUAAAUGGAUUGGGGCUGGAGUGGCAAUAAGAAAUGGUUUGAGUGGUCCUGGAGUUGAUCUAACCUUGGUCAAAAAUAAUAAUUGAAAAAUCUUGUACUACCAAAGAACUUUCUCAGCAGUAUGGCAGUAGCAUAAAUAAGAUAAAUAAGAAGUCAUCCCUCUUAAGACUCAAUAGUCUGAAAAAUCAUUUUGGUACAGCAAAAGCAACAAUGAUAUAGUGUCUCUGUCCACUUUUUGGGGUUGGCUGCUCACCAAGGCCAAAAAUCAGAUUGGGAAAUAUCUGAAACAGAUAAUUGAAACUGUUCUAUUUUUCAUAUUCUCUUUUUAAAAAUAUUUGAAGAAUCUGUAUUUGUUUUCUUAUGAAAGGAUUUAGAGGGGCUAUUGGCUUUUGUAUGCAUUCUAUAUGAGACCUAGCUGCAUGAAACUAAGGGGGAACUCUUUGAAUUUCAUGUGGUAGUGUAUAAUGCUAUGGUUCUGCUAUGAAAAACAGAAAUCUUAGGAAUAAUUAUUCAUUUUGCCUCUGGAAGUUGCAAUAAACUCUAUUAAUCCUUUUCCUAUCCUGAGGCAUAUUAGACAAUGAAUAGACAGUGUAAGAAUCACUGAUACCUUCUAGUUCUCCAUUUUCAUACUCAUUCCUUUUUGCAUAAGCAAAAAGUCAAAGAAGUGUGUAGUUGGUGCAUUCCUCCCCUUGCAUGCUUGCUUAUCCAUUGUGUAGAAUACCUGUUCUAAAUUGAAGCAUGUGAAAUACUUUUGUGAACCUGUCUUUUGUAAAGUUUCUAUUAAAAUGUGUGUGUUGUGUUAAAUAAGGUGAUGGCUCUGAAUGUGAGUAUCUCCAGUUCCAGUCCUACUCAGCCAUGAAUCUGAAGACUGCUUCAUUCAUGUUUGGCUGCCCACGAUAUUCCAAACAGUAUUAACAAUAUUAGUAGUUAUGAUGUACUAGGGCAGUUAACUGUGCUUGCAGUUUGAAGACAAUUGUGUGCAUGUAAUGAACUGCCUUCACAGGCAGGAUUUUUUUUAAAAAAUAGGUAAAACGCUUUAAAAUAGAAUAGAUUUUCUGGCAUCACGGGAGUGGGUAGAACUGAAGAAACACCUUUAAAGAAAACUUUGGUUUCAUUAUUUAUGGUUUAAUAUGUUCUUUGGAUGACAUCUCAGAUUCUGGUUUUUU